UCCUUUACAAGUAAGAACACCUUUUAUUUUCUAUAUGUUUUCCCUCUAUAGUUAAUUUUGAAUUUUUAACCGGGUGCAAUUUCAUUCUAAUAGGUAUGGGCAGUAGAGAUAUUACCAGCCCUACAAGAAUGUGUUGUUUCAUAUGUUCCCCAUCAAAUUCCACGCUUCAUUCAAUAUCGAGGCUGGAAGGGUUGGAGGUACAAGAGAAUACAUGCUAUUUUCGAGAGUAGAGCUACAUCAGUAGUAAUGAAAUUAGAACCAACGCUACGAGAAUGGGAAACGGAUGCCGUUCGCUCGGUGCGUGACAGUUUCCAGCUCACUGAAACUCAGGAACAUGAUGAGGAGGGUAAUGAGAUUGAUCAUGAAGAGGAUGACGAGUCAGAUGAUAAUGAUAAGAAAGGCGUGGAGGGAGAGGGACCGAGGG